AGCGAACGUUAGCGGCGGGCCUAACAUAUGCAAGUCGAGCGAGAAAAGGGCUUCGGCCCCGAGUAAAGCGGUGGACGGGUGAGUAACACGUAGGUAAUCUUCCCUUGAGCGGGGGACAACGAGCCGAAAGGCUCGCUAAUACCGCAUACGUUUCUCGGGACUCCGGUCCUGGGAAGGAAAGCUAGGCCGCAAGGUCCGGCACUCGAGGAGGAGCCUGCGUCGCAUCAGCGAGUUGGUGGGGUAACGGCCUACCAAGGCGAAGACGCGUAGCUGGUCUGAGAGGAUGAUCAGCCACACGGAAACUGAGACACGGUUCAGACGCCUACGGGAGGCAGCAGUGGGGAAUAUUGGACAAUGGGCGCAAGCCUGAUCCAGCCACGCCGCGUGAGUGAUGAAGGCCUUCGGGUCGUAAAGCUCUGUGGGGAGGGACGAACCGCCGUUGGUGCAUAGCCAACGGCAUGACGGUACCUCCUUAGCAAGCACCGGCUAACUUCGUGCCAGCCGCCGCGGUAACAC
rnacentral:rRNA from 1 species